AGCGAACGCUGGCGGCAGGCUUAACACAUGCAGGUCGAACGCAUCACUUCGGUGGUGAGUGGCAGACGGGUGAGUAACACGUGGGAACGUACCCUUCGAUCUGGGAUAACUUCGGGAAACUGGAGCUAAUACCGGAUACGCCCUUUUGGGGAAAGGUUUACUGUCGAAGGAUCGGCCCGCGUCUGAUUAGCUAGUUGGUGGGGUAACGGCCUACCAAGGCGACGAUCAGUAGCUGGUCUGAGAGGAUGAUCAGCCACACUGGGACUGAGACACGGCCCAGACUCCUACGGGAGGCAGCAGUGGGGAAUAUUGGACAAUGGGCGCAAGCCUGAUCCAGCCAUGCCGCGUGAGUGAUGAAGGCCUUAGGGUUGUAAAGCUCUUUUGUCCGGGACGAUAAUGACGGUACCGGAAGAAUAAGCCCCGGCUAACUUCGUG
rnacentral:rRNA from 1 species